UAAGGAAUAUUGGUCAAUGGACGCAAGUCUGAACCAGCCAUGCCGCGUGAAGGAUGAAGGUCCUCUGGAUUGUAAACUUCUUUUAUCUGGGACGAAAACGGGAUUUUUAUCUCAAUUGACGGUACCAGAGGAAUAAGCACCGGCUAACUCCGUGCCAGCAGCCGCGGUAAUACGGAGGGUGCGGGCGUUAUCCGGAUUUACUGGGUUUAAAGGGUGCGUAGGUGGGCUUAUAAGUCAGUGGUGAAAUCUCCGAGCUUAACUUGGAAACUGCCGUUGNUACUAUAGGUCUUGAAUUAUCUGGAGGUAAGCGGAAUAUGUCAUGUAGCGGUGAAAUGCUUAGAUAUGACAUAGAACACCAAUUGCGAAGGCAGCUUACUACAUAUAAAUUGACGCUGAGGCACGAAAGCGUGGGGAUCAAACA
rnacentral:rRNA from 1 species